rnacentral:lncRNA from 1 species
AAAAUUUGUGGAAAUGAAUUUAAACCUCCUUUUUCUAUCAAUUUUUUUUUCAACGCCCGUUAAUCACGCUCCUAACACCAUCCAAUAAUUAAGAUUUCUAGCCGAUUACUACUAAAUCAUCGCCUAUAGGCUAUAAACAGCCUCCAGUCAACAAACAAACAAUCACCACCACUCAGAUCAGAUAUUUUUCAUAAGUUGUCCUAUUGUCAGUUUUACACCACUAAGAUCAUCAUGGCUGGAGAGAAGCACCGCCACCACCUCGUCCACCACCACAAGGAAGAGAAGCCUGUCGAGAGAAGCACCACUAAGACCAUCAUGGCUGAAGAGAAGCGCCACCACUACCACCACAAGGAAGAGAAGCACCACCACCACCUCGUCCACCACCACAAGGAAGAGAGAAGCACCACUAAGACCAUCAUGGUUGAAGAGAGAAGCACCACUAAGACCAUCAUGGUUGAAGAGAAGCACCACCACCACCUCGUCCACCACCACAAGGAAGAGAAGCACCACCACCACCUUGUCCACCACCACAAGGAAGAGAAGAAGCACCAGCACCACCUCGUCCAGCACCAGCACCAGCACCAGCACCACCUCGUCCAGCACCACCACCACCACCACCACCACCACCACAAGGAAGAGAAGCACCACCACCACAAGCCUGUCGAGAGAAGCACCACUAAGACCAUCAUGGCUGAAGAGAAGCACCGCCACCACCUCGUCCACCACCACAAGGAAGAGAAGCACCGCCACCACAAGCCAUAAUAAAAGGCAUAAUAGUCUCUUGUAUACUGUUUGUUCUGGCUUGAUGGUGCUGAUUUGAGUUAAAAAAGAUAAUGACUAUGUUGAUGAUGACACAUUUUCUGCCUUGGGAACCAAUUAUAAUAUAGGAUCCGAAUAGUUGCUUUUAUCUUUAUAAUUUAUGUUUCACAUGGAAAGAUAUUCAAUUCUCAUCUUUGAUACAUGUCACUACUUUGUUGCAAUUCAGUCAAGUUUAUUCAUACUUGAACAAGGCGGUGUCCUGAAAAUAUGACAUCUAUUAGUUAUACAAUGUUUAUUGUUGCUUGACUAACUUGCAGUCUUGGGUGGUUAACUUGUGCAUUGAUCCAGCUUGAGUUAAGUACUUGGUUACUCAGCGUUUGCUCUGACAUAUAUUCUUCAGUAAAUGCGGCAGGCUGAAUUGUUUACAAAUUACCGGUUCAAUUGUUGCUGUGUAAGCGAUGUACUGCAACUCCUGCAACUUAUAUUGAUCGUGCUUUGCUGGUAUCGUCCCCUGUACUUGCUUGUCCUUGGUUUUCUAUUCUGUUAAACCUACAACUCCAAUUUUAAGUUCCUUUAUCCUGUGUGUUUCUCUUCUUUGCUGCUCAGUACUCCAGAACUAUGACCGUAUCCAUUAACCGUCCCUCCUCAUAAAUUACUACUAGCAGUGAAAAUCACUGGAGUCAUUUCUUGCUGCACUCUUGAAAAGCACUGUCAUGUACAAUUCCAUUGUACUUUACCUGACUUGCUGCCUUAACCAUCUGACAUUAGCAUGUUUCCGCUCAAAGUAUAGACCAAAAGAAAGGAAUUCUGAAAUCUUCUAUGGUUCAAUUGUCAUGAAUGUGAGUUUUCAUGAACAGACAACGUGGCUUUAACUGCUUAUUUGCUUUUGCCUUUUUGUGUAGGAAACUUUUGUUUCUGGUGUUGAUGGUCUCAACUUAACUUCCAAUGAAGACUCGUACAAAUCCAAGGCAACUACGAAAUUCAUGGAUUCAAUUGAUGGUGCUAUUGAUGAGUAUUUGACCUUUAACAAUCCCGAGUCAUGCUGUGAGAAGCUUGAGGAUUUGCUUACACAUGGGCACCUUCAGGGGCCACUGAGACCAAAGCCAGAAAAGUCACCUCAAUGCAUAAGGUUACACUUGUUUCAUCAUCAAUCUCUACAUGCAUACACCACACUUGCUUCAGCAUACAGAGUCCGUGCUAGUGACCUCUUGGCUCUUAAUUCUGAAAAUCAUCAGCAUCAUAUGGAAGCUUUCACUCUGAGCAGAAUAAGUGCAGCCUACUCCUUGUUGUUGGCUAUAGUUACGCAUCAUCUUUUUCUUUCUGAAUCUUCAAUAAUUGUCUGUGUUGCGAAUUUCUGGAAAAAUGCCGGGGAGUCCCUAGUUUAUCUCUUUAGAAGCUCAGCCUGGGUUACAUUUUCCAGUUUGCACCAAUCUGUUUCUGAAAAUUCAUCCAUUCUAAGCCAUAAAUGCUGAAGAUCAAUUCUUUUAUUAAUACUGAAGAUCAAUAUGCAAUGUUUGGGGACAUAAGCAGGCAGCACAUAAAUUGUAUUGUCAACAUAACAGAAAAAGUAUGGAGCUUCCUUAGUCAUGAAAGUCGACAUCUGCAAGAAGUUAAAGAGCUCAUUGAUUUUUGAUGGCUUCUCACAGUGGAAACUCCCCUUGAUCUCGGAACUCGUAUUACUUGCCGGGAUAGCAGAACUGUUUCCAGACUUCAAAAAAAGGAGCAUGCCAACCUAGAGAGAGCAUAUCUCUUUCAGCUUGGUCUCCACUGCUUACACUAUGCAACAUACCUGUCAAGCAUCUGUUAUGGCCUAAAUUCCCUGUUGAUAGGUGAAGUUUGUCAAUCUUCUAUACUCUGAAGGUAUGUAUAGUGGCUGGUUAGUUCAACCAAUUUGGCUGAAAAUAUUAUCAAAAAAUAGCGAUGUGAAAAGGUCAUCAAAUAGAUGGUGAUCAAAAAGCUCAGUUCAUCACUCGUAUAUACCGUAUAGUUGAGUGUAUCUUUCCAGGAUUGAAUUCUCAUAGAUGGUGAUCAAAAAGCUCAAUUCAUCACUCGUAAUGCAUGCAAGCAGGAGCCCAAUAUUUCGUCCUCUUUCCAUUUGUUUUUUUUGGGCCACAGUCCUAGAAAUAAGCAUUUCAUGAGUUAAUUUUGGUCUACUGAAUUGAAUAAGAGUGAACUUUUGGGCCAAAUCAGGCUCCAAUUUCAAAUGUGGGUGCUGUUAUUGGGCCUCAAGAGAUUGGAUAAAGCCUGCCCACCUGACACCUAAGUAUCAAGGUCAAAUGACCUCAAACAAUCUAAUAUCCGUUCGCCAGUACUUUUAUUUGUUUAUUUUUUCUUGCCUUCAUAUUACACCCUUCUCGCCUUUAUAUUGUCUGAUUCAGAAUUCAAAAUCUGAAUCUCAUAAUUGAAAGGACGCUAAGAGCUUUUUUUUGACAAAUUUUUAUUUAUUUAUUUAUUACAUUCUUUCAUUCCUGUUCAUACCUUUUUCUUGCAGUCAUAUUAUACCCUUUUCUCCUUUGUACCGAGAGACUCAGAAUUCGAAAUCUGAACCUCAUAAUUGAAAGGACGUUAAGAGCCUAUUUUGACAACUGAACAAACCCUAAUAGUUUUAGUACUUACUUAAAAGAGUUUGUCAAUUUGUUGUUGUAGAGAGCUACAAUGACUUUAUGAAGGUAAAGUGGACAUUAAGUUUGGGCAGUGUCGAAUUUUACCUUUUCUUUUUCCCUUUCUUUUUGGUAGUAUGAUAUUAACUCGACAUUAUAAGAUUUUCAUGGGGGGUGGUUUGAAGUCUCCAUUUUGUUGCAACUAUUCAAAGAGUCAUGAAAUCUGUGAUUUCAUUUUCCAAGUGUGAAUAUUAGGUGGAUGGACAAAUCAACCUUCUUUUUUCCAUUCUUGGGGCAGAAUUUCUUCUCCCACGGAUGUUUCCUAUCCAUAUCACGAUAAUGUACUCUUCUUGAGCGAGUAAAUUAAUUGGUCCCCAAAUGGAAAUUUAGUUGGCACGUCUCACCGACCACGUUUCCUUAACAGCGAAGAAAAGGAAAUAUACAAAUGGAAAAUAAUCUGAAUCUAAACCACCCCAGAUAUCAACAUUCAAGUGGUGGAUAGUCAAUGCAUUUGGAUCAUUCAUGCAUCCAUCUUCCAACUUUGCUUAAAAUUGUGAACAAAGGGGUGGCAAACAACAUCAUAUCCAUGUGGUGGAGGCCAUACCUGUGAAUUGACCCUUCCAAACAGGCGUUAGAGCACAAUUGGUCAGAGAGGAGAAACUUGAAGGUGCAUAUGGCUAUGAGUUACAUCUGUAAAGUAAUAUCAACAUUAAUCGUCCAUUUGUAUCAAUCAUGGAUCAAUUGACAAAAAAAAACCCAAGUUGCAUCCUGUAUAGUUUGUCUGGGGAUGGGGUCUAUGUCAAUGAAUUGGAUGAAAGGAGAAGAAACUUCAAACUAUGAAUUUAUAAUUAGUGAUUGAGCUUAAUUCUUCAACCCAACCACACCAAACUUCUUGGUUAUUGGAGAACCAAAUCAUAUAUAUAUAUAUAUAAUAAAGUCGUAUCCUCAUUUAUCGUUUCAUGUUUUCUUUUUCUUAUGUGGCUUAACGAGAUAGCAAGUAAUUUUCUACGUGGCUUGCUUCUUUUUUGUUUGGAUUUAUAUCAAUUCUUAUUUCCUAUAUUAUAUGAUUGGUCCGAUAAAAUAUAUCAAUUCUUAGUCCGAUAAAAAUUGUUAGUCCGAUAAAAAUUGUGAUACAAAAUGGAUCAAUUGGAAAAAAAACCCCAAGUUGCAUCCUGUAUAGUUUGUCUGGGGAUGGGGUCUAUGUCAAUGAAUUGGAUGAAAGGAGAAGAAACUUCAAACUAUGAAUUUAUAAUUAGUGAUUGAGCUUAAUACUUCAACCCAACCAUACCAAACUUCUUGGUUAUUGGAGAACCAAAUUAUUUAAUAGUCGUAAGGUGGGAAAAAAAAAAGAAUUGCUUAAACAAUCUAGAAUACUUCUUUUUUUGGUAAAUAUCUAGAAAAUAUCUCUUUGGCUAUCUUGACCAAGAAAUACUGGUAGACCAUUUAACUUUCAAAAUGUUGAUUAUUGAUCACUAAGAUAUGUUUCAACCGCUUAAUCAUGAUUUAAUAGAGUUUUAAUUUCCCACUAUCCCUUGUCAAUCAGCAAAAUUGUGUUUGAUGACACGACUAAUUACCCUUCCAUAUAUAUAUAUAUAUAUCCUCCUUUUUCUAUCAAUUUUUUUUUUCAACGCCCGUUAAUCACGCUCCUAACACUAUCCAAUAACUAAGAUUUCUAGCCGAUUACUACUAAAUCAUCGCCUGUAGGCUAUAAAUAGCCUCCUCUCCACAAUCCAACAAACAGAAAAUUACCACCACUCAGAUCAGAUAUUUUUCAUAAGUUGUCCUAUUAUCAGUUUUACACCACUAAGACUAUCAUGGCUGAAGCCUUCCACCACCACAACCCCUUCCACCACCACAAGGAACAGACGGCUGCCGAAGCCGUUGGCUACUCCGACACCACCUACUCUGGAGGCUACGGUGGAGAGCCAGCACAUGAUUAUGAGAAAGAAAGAAAGCACCACAAGCACCUUGAGCAACUUGGUGGACUCGGUGCUGUCGCUGCUGGCGCCUAUGCCUUGGUAUAUUUCCGAUUUUGUGAUCCUUGCUUGUAUAACUCAGUUUUCAUGAUAAGCCACGAAGGCAUGCUUGUCUAUAAGAAGCCACAAAUUAAACUCAGUUUUUUUUUGUAUUAGUCCAUAAAGACUAAACAUUUUUGUUAUCAUUUCGUUUGAUCAGACAAUCAAAGAUUAUGUACGUCCAAUAUCAAAAGGGUUGUUCAGUAAAUCAGAAAAAUCUCUUUCGAAAAAUAAAAAAAAAAAGAUUAAAGAAUCUCUAGGGGGGAUAAAAUCGUAUGGUAUGGUCCAAUUAUAGUGUUGUGUUGAAUUUUAUGCUCUAAUCGGACUAAAAAUUUUGCAGUCAAUUGACUGUAUCAUAAACUCUUUUAAGUAGGACAUGGUUUUUGGCUUUACUAAUUUCUUGUUUGUUUUUUUUGUCGAAAUUUCCAUAAUCCAGCAUGAGAAGCACAAGUCCAAGAAAGAUCCUGAGCAUGCCCACAAGCACAAGAUAGAAGAAGAGAUUGCAGCAGUAGCUGCAGUGGGUGCCGGUGGAUUUGCGUUCCAUGAGCAUCACGAGAAGAAGGAUGCCAAGAAAGAAGAGGAAAAGGCUGAGGGAAAGCACCACCACCACCUAUUUUAGUUUAACCACUCGGAUUUUCAUUAAUCCUUGGGUGGUCUUUUUAAUAUUGUUCCCUUGUCUAUCUUCCAGUAUUGAGCUCGUACUGCCAAUAAUCAUGUUUAAUAAUCUGUUACUCAAAAAAAAAAAAAAAGUGUUGUUUUUCAUUUGAGUUGUGCGCCUGCUUUUGUUGGCGCUGCUGACUUUAUUAGAGUUUGUGUGAAGUGCUGUUGUUAUUAAUGAAAUGUUUGGUUGCAGUAUAAAAAUUAGAUAUCAGUUUGGAAUAUGCUCAAAGGAUGAUGAGUAUUCUUUUGGGCUCUAUCUGAUGAUCCGCAUAGAAAUUUGUUUUUUCCAAUAAUUUGUGACGUUACUCGAAAUGAAAUUUGUUAUGAUGUUGAUUGAAUAAUGAAUGUCUAUUAUACUUAAACAUUGAACACUAAUAGAACGUUGAGGUAUGGCCAUUUCUUGCGCCCCUUCCGUCUCCCGCGAUUAGGAUUUAUCCUAACUGAUUGGGAAAGGAUCAGGACCUAUAAAUAGCAAUGUCAUGAAAUUCCUAGCACUCACACUUAAUAACAAAAAAAUAUCAAAUUUUCAUUCUUAACCAUUACAAAUCGACAACCACAAUGGCUGAUCAGACUCAGCACCACCAUCUCUUCGGCCACCAUAACGAGGAAGAAAGGAAACACCACAAGCAUCUUGAGGAGCUCGAUGAGCUUGCAGCUGCUGCCGCUGGUGCCUACGCUUUGGUAAAAUUCUAAUGUUCUUGAUUUAAGCUGGUUUAUGUCCCCCAUAGAUUAAUCAAUCAAAAUAAAAAAAAAACAUGCUUUUUCAUUCACGGAAGAGGAAGAUCUAUGCAUCAAUUUUGGUACAACUAUUGUUAGACGUCUCCCCUAAAAAAUCAAGAUUGAUGAUGGGUUAGACAGUAGGGGACGUUCAUUUGUAUACUCUACUGUUGGGAGGAGAAGUUGCAUUUAAUUUUGGAGAAUGUCAAAAGCCAGUUUCUUAAAACCCAUAUGGUAGUGGGUUCAGAAUGGACUAGAUCUGCAGGUGGCUAAAAGGUGUUACAUCAACCGCUAUUUCUAAGAUAUCUAAAGAUUAGUGAUUCCUGAGCAAAACCAAGCCCAAGUAGUAUACUAAAACUUGUAGACAUAAUUAAUAUGGUCUGAGCCAAAAUAAUUUCUGAACUUUGUUAGCUCAUCUAUGGUGUGAAUUUGCAUGGAAUGAUGGUCAGCAUGAGAAGCACGAGGCCAAGAAGGAUCCGCAGAAUGCCCGCAGGCACAAGUUAGAAGAAGAGAUUGGUGCAGCAGCUGCAGUUGGAGCUGGCGGAUUGGCAUUCCAUGAGCAUCAUGAGAAAAAUAAUGCCAAAAAAGAAGAAGAAAAAGCCGAGGGAAAGCACCACCAUCUAUUUUGAAUUAUGAUAAGGGUUCCUUCAAUUUUCUUGCUAGUUCACAUCCAGGUUUCUACUUUGACAAGAAAUAAUUAUGUUUGUUUUUUCUCUAAAAACAAAAGGUAAUGUCAAUUUAUCUUGGGGAUUUCGUCUUGAUUUUAUUGGCGCAACUGACCUAGCACAUUUGUGGUGGAAUUGGUCUCAAUCUUACGUGCAAUUAUUUGUGUAAUAAUUCUAUCAUUAUGUUGGUAUCGUAUAAUCUAUGUAAUAAUUGAUGGAUUUUCUUAGCCAAAGAUAUAACAAAAUAGCCGACUGAUCACUGGUUAGAGUCAUAAAGGGAUAAGUGAAAAAUCACUGUUGAUCAUUUUUAAGGUAAAAAAAAAAGAAGUAAAUUUAUAGCAUUCAAUCUUUUCUUGAGGCUUUAUAUUCAUUUAAAGACUCAUGGAACAAUUAAACUUGUUGCAAAAAUAAUUUUGUUGGUUUUCCGACAUGUCAAUCUCAAUUGUUAAAAUUGUAAACUCUGAUUGGUGAGGCUGUAUAACAUCCAGCCCAUUUGGCGAUGUUAGGACCCAAAACUUAUCGUGAGGACCCUAUUGGAUGAGAGAGAUUCUUGAUUACGUUCCUUAUCUUCGUGAAGGUGACGGGCUAUCUACAUUAUUUCUCAAUUUAGUUCCUUUACCUUCGUAGAAAGUGACCAACCUAUAACAUUUGUGAUUUAACCGAAAAUUGUGGGAAACUAAAGAAUGAAUGAGUCACUUGAAUUGCUCCGAAACUAUUGGAAGGCAAUCUUUUAAGUGCCGAAAAAUAAAUAUUCUGUGGUGUUAAAGGAAUGAGAUGGGCGAACACUUGAGAUCCUCGGUAUCAUGUUUUUUAUGCCAAUCCAAUGCCACCUAUAGUAUUGCGCCAAGUGUUUUGUUAUUAUUUACACUUUAAUUUUCUAAUAAUUUAACUUGGUUUGGUUUAACACAAGUGUAAAUAAUAACAUGACACUUGGCGCAAUAUUAUGCGAAAUGGCUUCCUAAAAAAUAGCAUCCGCAUUUGUUUUUCAUUGAGAGGUAUUUCAGUUUUUCGAUCAAGUUAAUCCCUUAAAACUGUGUAGAGCCUUACUCCAAGGAUACACAGUCAGAUAACUCAUAGAAUCAAUCACGGAACCUAGCCUACUGAUAACUACCAGAUUACGAAACCAGUCAAAUUAGCGCGGGGCAAGCAUCCAUAUUUACAAAUGUGAAAUAUUGAUGCGAAAAGUUUUGACUGGCAUUCUGUAAAAGUUUUGAUGAAUAUGGCACUAUGAACCCUUAUUGAAAUAUUGCCGAAUUCCACAUUAUAGUAAGACAUCUAUUAGAAAAUUGAAAAUCUUGGUCCUUUGUCUUAAUUAACGUCACUGUUCUGUUAUCAUGGCCAUAGUCUUAGUCCCUUAACUAUAAAAAUUUGAUCAAUGUAGUCCGUUGAAUAGAAAAUUGGUCCAUAAUAAAUUUUAAAAAAAUUUAGUAGCAUCAGUUACACAACCUACACGACACGGCUAGAUAUUCCAGACACGAUACUUGACUAUUCUACCUGUGGCUUUCGUUAAUGGAGGAAAAAAGGUGAGAAGAAGACUCAGGGUCUCCGCCUGCAAGUACUGGCCAAAUGGUCAAAAUGAAUACGUAGCUGCCUGCCUAGAAUACUUGUUCAAUUUGAUGUUACAUAAAUUGGACAUUAGUCUUUGAUGAAAAUAGCUACUCAGCAAUGACAACGGUGUAUAGACACAUUAACACUCCACAAAGUAAAAAUUUUUGCCUCAAUUGGUAGGUGGAGGAGCGCCAUGUUUGUCUUUUGAUCAACAUAUAUUGUGGCCACAAAUCUCACUCCCAAGAUUUUGAUCAAGUUUGUCCCCGUUAAGGGCCAUAAUUUUGUGAUGAAUUUUUUUUUUUUGUCUUUUGAAUCAGUUUUAAAAAAUAUUCAAAUCAAUAUUGGAAGUUCCCAAGUUAUUCGUCAAAUCGCUUCUACGAGUUUCAAACUAUGUUAGCCGAACCAAGCAUGAAAAUUGGUUGUUUUAGUGCAAAAAUGAAGAGUAUAAGACUAAGAACGGCAAGGCAAAUUGAUUAACGGCUAAAUUUUACCAUUUAUUGUGUCUUGGAUAUGAUUUUUUUUUGGUCAAGCAUAGUUGCAAAAAUUGAUAACACGAAUUAGAGUUCAGACUUUAUAAUUUUACUGAAUCAUUUUAAGGAUUGAAACUGAGUAAAACUUUACGUCAUUUCAUUUUGCCCCCUUUCUCCCCCAUCUCCAAUUAAGGAUCUCGGGAUUCACAAGUUGCAUUUCGCUCCAUUUCAGAAUAAAAUGAUAAUUUUAAUUAUUUGUUUAUACUGUAUUCAAAUUAUUUACGCCAUAUUUAUAAUUUUCUUUUACACUAUAUUCUAACUCAUUUACACCCUAUUCUAACUCAUUUACACCAAGGACAAGCUUGUCUUGUGAAAACCCAUCCACCUCAAGUAAACGUCAACAUGAAAAAUCAAAGUGGGAAUGGGAAAUGUGGGGAACUCCAACCACACAAGAGCAAGAUGUCCAAUAGGAUGAUGGGGAAUACUAGAAGUUUACUAGUACACUGAAUUGAAACUAUAUAAUUUCUCAAACCAUUUUAGCAUUCUCGGCGUAGUUAGGAAUAUGUAGAACUACUGCUAGUUAUAUAUUGAUCUCAUGCCGUAUACUUAUCUGAUAGUUCUUUGGCCAUGGCCAGAACCGACUUCACGACGGGCAAGUUAUAUGUUCUCUUAAAGCUAGAAGGGCAAAUUGAUCUAUCGGGGUCGUUCUCAAUUAUCAUAGUUUCUAUGUGGAUCAAUUAGCCCUCUUGCCUUGAAAGAACAUAUAACUUCUGAUCCUGCAACUUCAAUCUUGGCAGAAAAUUGGUCUGCUGUAGUCUCCUUCAGCUACUGGAUUGGAGUCACUUGCAGCUCUCGCCACAAGGCAGGGUUACCGAGGUCAGUAUUUCGAACAUGGGUUUCGCGGGCAGCGCUCCUCCACACCUAGGAAACCUCUCGUUUCUUGUUUCUCAUAUCUUGCUUGUUUCUCUUGACAUGAGAAACAAAUUAACUGAAACGCUGUGCUGCCAGAAAAAAAUGGUUGAUUUGGGUCGAUUGAGAUACAUUGAUUAAAUUGGGAUACAAACAACUUUGUUGAAGAGGUACCAACAUGGUUCGGUUUGUUAGAUAAGCUUCAAUCCCUGCUUUUGUCCAAGAACCAGUUUAGUGGAUAUAUACCAACAGAAAUUGGGAAUCUGUACAAGCUGCACCUGAGAAUGUUCUCUAUAACAAUUUGGAAGGUACUUUCAUCCAUCUACUGGUCAUAUUUGUGCAAUUUGUCGCAAUCAAAAUCAAAUAAUAAAGUUUUUUUUUACAGACUUGAGAAGUAUGUAGUCAUGCCUACAUGCAAAAAAGUGGAACCAUGGUUCAAAGUCGCGGUCGCGGUCAUGGUCGCGGCCCGGAACGUUCCACGUCGGUCUCGGCAUAUCGGUCACGGUCUCGGUGAGACGCAAAUUUUAAAGUAUUUAAUAUUCUAAAAAUUGUUAAUAAUAUAAAAAAAAAGUAUGCUAAACAAAAAUAAUAAAAAAUAACAAAAGAAAUGGCCAAGUCAAUCCGUCACGGUGUAACUCGGCCGAUUUCUCGUCUUGACUCAGGAUAAUUCAGAGUGACUCGGUAUGACUCGGCUGAGUCAAUCCGUCGCGGUGACGUCUCGGCCGAUUUCUCGGCGAAUCAAGUAUCUCAGUAUCGUCUCGUCACGGUAUCGUAUCGGUAGAGGUCGAGACGGUGACGACUCGGCCGAGUCAUCUCGGUCUCGGCCGAGACUUCGAACCAUUAGUGGAACUGAACCAAUAUAAAUAUUAUCAAUUAGGUUAAUUACAUCUGAAAGCCAAGCAGAAGAAAAUAGCUAUAGGUUUCUGAUUCCAGCCCAUGUGCUAAUUUUUUCUGGAGAAGUUUACUCAAUUGUCUAGAUGUCAUGAAAAUUCUUAAUGUCAGAAAGUGAUAUAAUCUACAGUUUUGCAGGAGGAAUACCAAGAGAGAUUUGUAAUUUAACUGUGCUCAAUAGCCUGGUUUUACCAUUUAUGCAAUAACCACUUGACAGAUAGAUUAAUAACAAUAGUAUUCCUUUUUGUUGAUUAACCUUCAAAGAGGCUGAAUUAUCACGUUGAUUACCCCCAUGAACAUUCAUUUGCAUCAGUCUGUCUUGACUUUUUCAGUUGUCCAGUGACUGGUAGAUAGCAGCGCAGUUGUUUGGAUGGUAGCACUCUUGCAUUUUUUUAAAAAACUUUCUCACUUUUUUUUUUUUAAGUAAGAGAUAUUGAAUUCAGAAUCUUUUACAUAUAAUAUAAUCUUUGUUUUAUCACGUUAGAAUUAGAACUGACAUUCUAAUUAUAAUAUAAUACAAAGAUGAAAUAUCCUACAUCGGAUGGAGGAAAAGAAAAGGAAAUUAUAACGUCCAAUCCAUCAAAUUACCAAUAACUUUGGAUUAAUCAUUUUGAUCCCGUGGUUUUAGCUCAAAAAGAUAUUGGGUCAGUCCAACUGGCAUAGGGGUGUUACAAGUGGUAUUAGAGCGAAUUUGCAUGGGAUAAGUCUAAACCAGCAGGUUAUGGUUCAGAUUGCGCAACGAAGUGCAAGAAACAAAGUACUAUAUGGAGUUAAGGGUCACGUCGGACGUGGGUCAAUUUUAAAACCAUAUGAGACACGUCUAGAAUCCGCACAUGAUUAAGUGGAUAAUUUGAACCGUAACAGGCUUUAUGACAAUGCAAAGUUCUAAAGAGUUACCUCUAAAAUUUGCGGACAAGCUAACGAGUCACCUCUGAAAUUCACGUACGACUAAUGAGAAUGCAAAGUUCUAAAGAACCACCUCUAGAAUCUGCGUACAACCUAAAGAAUCACCUCUAAAAUUUGUGCACGACUAAAUGAACAGUUUGAAUUGUAAUAGGUUUUGUGAGAAUGCAACGUUUUAAAAGAUGGAGAGAGUGAAGUGUCCCACAUCAGACCCAUGAAAAGAAAAGAAAUAGUAUAUAACGUCCGAUCCAUCGAAUUACUAAUAACUUUGCAUUGACGAUUAUGAGAACCUAACAUCAGCUCAAAAACCUGUUGGGUCAGUCUAGUGGGCGUGGGAUGUGACGACCCCACCUCCCCCUAAGGCGUACCAAAGGGUUCGGCGGACCGCCUGCCCAGCUCUCGCCAGGACUCACUCACUAUCUCAAUCGAAUCGUAUACACACAUCCAUGAACCAUAAAUAACAUUCACAAUUCAAACUUAUAAUUUACAUUGAUAGGAAUCGAGGUACAAAGUCUUAAUACACCCAACUAGUUCAAAAAGUAUACAAUCCAAGUACAACAUGUUCCGUUCGAGGAAAAACGCGAGUACAAGACCAAAAGUCCGAAGUCAAAACAAAAGGCUACACUAGUCUUUUACAAGUCCCUCGCGUCACUCGUACCCCUGUAAGGAAAACAAACUAAUGGGGUGAACCAAAGCUCAGUGAAGUUCCCAAAUAUCAAAUUGGUCAACAACCAAGUUAUAGCAAAAUAAAAGUGAAAUAGCGAGCAAACAAGUCAAAUCAGGGAAAUAGUACUUCAGCUAGCCAAGUAGUCAGAUUCAUAUUCACAUAUAAGGAUACAGUACUCAUUUUCAGCUCCAUUCCAGCUUGGUUAAGUGGUAGUUGACACUCCGUCAACUUUCAAGUAAUAUCCAGUCCAAAUAAACUCCACUACACGCCAAUUUCCGUCCACCGAUCAACCCCCUAUUCCGGGCCCGCACGCCAUACAAAACAUGGGUGGUAAUACUCGAGUAUACUGUUAGUCGAGGAGAUAACACUCCACUCGACAUUACAAGUGACCCAGGGUUUGUUAUCUAAUCGACCAGGCCCUUGCCGGCUCGACUCGAUUAACUAGCCACAGGGUUUUCUGGAAUUCCAGGCAAGAUAUAAUUCAAGUACAUGUACAACAAGUCAAGUAUGAUCAAUAGCAAGAACAGGUCAUAUUAGGGCAAGUGCGAUAAAGUACACCCUUGCCCUUUCAUUCAUUGUCAUGUAAUCACGCAAGUCAAGUAAGGAGUACACAUAUCAAGUACAAUCGGAUAUUUGGAAGCACUCACCAAAAUAGUGCUUCUAGUGCUCGUGUCUGGGUGGUACUCCGAGUUGGGAGUCCAAAUCUGCGAUAAAACUUAACUUGAGAACUUUGAAAAUCAACCAAGGUUUGAAACUUAAGUGUUUCGUUCAAUAAGAAUCAAGAAAUUGAAAUUCACUUGAGAAGAGUCGUGAAAUAGUUGCUCGCUCUUUAAACUGAAAAAUUAAAUAACAUUUUUGCUUGAAGAUGACUCUUGAGUCAAAAGUGCAAGUAAAACGGUUUCGUAGUGAUUCAUAUCAUUUUCCUAAGGGUACAAGUUCGGCCAAGUCCUAACAUAUAACCCUCGAUAAACAAGUGGCAAAAGUCCUCGAUAGUUCAAGUAAUAAUCACUUAACCUUCACUCAAGUCGCAAAGAUAGUUUUCUAGACCUCGAGUAAAAAUUUGGGCAGCAUGCCCUUUGUGUUUACCUAAUUUCCAGCCAUUUAGGCUUCAUUAUUUUUCUUCAACAACAUCCCAACAUCAUACAAAUAAGCAAUUUAUGUCAAGAGCCGUUCCAUAGGCUCACAAUAUCAUAACAACACGAAUUGCAUCAAGUACAAGUGCAGAAACGCAAUGUAGUUCAAUACAGAUUUGACGUACAAAUGCGGUAAUACCAUACCUGAGGCUACGCUUAUCGGAUUAAAACGAAACCUACGCCGUUUCGAAGCUAAGGCACAGAGCUACAACAUUCAUGAAGGUCACUUAGUCCAUUUCCUAAUGUAACUUAGUCAAAAUCUCAGAUUACUAAACCAGAAACCAAUUCACCGGCAGUUUAAACGCAUUAUGCUGUAAUGGACCUAACUCAGUGUACACAAGUCCGAAUCAGGUUUUCUUUGAGGCAUUUUAAAGCUACUUCAGAACACUACAACUUUUAUGUUUUGGCCCAGAGCUAAAUCAGAAUGGAUCCUGGUCAAAAAUCGUGAUAAACUGGACUGAACUGAAGAAACGGACUGCUGGGAAAUUCUUAAAACAGUAGGGGUAUUUUGGACUUUUCACAUUCUGCGUUGCUCCGAUUGAGCUGAAAUUUUAUAGGCACCUAUAAAAUACCAUUCUCUACAACUUUCCUUCUUUGACCAAAGGCCAAUUCGGCCUCUAACAUAUAGAUACAAUUUCGGACAGAAUGCUUGGGAAAUUUUCCAGAAAUCUGGAAUUGUUUAGCUCUAAGUGAAUCUCAAAUUUCUGGUUCUAAUCACCACUAAACACCUUAUAUAACUUUAAUUGCAACAUUCAUGCAUCAUACAUCAACUUGAGCAGAAAAUCAGAAACCCUAGUUCAUCAAAUAAAUUGGGGAAAAACUUCUACACAUGCUAGCAUCCAUGAAUCUACCACCAAUCAAGCUACUAAGCUUACUUUAACCAUGAUUGAAAGAGAAAGUUAGAGAGAUAUCAUCCUCUUACCUUGAUUUGAGUCUCCAAGAUAGCACCAAGCUCUUCUCUUCCCAAAACUUCCACCACCAAUCACUAGAUAAUCACUCAAGAGUAGGUUUAAUCGGUUUACUUUGUUGAUUUUCUCACUAAGUUGUUGGAUUUGAAGGUGAAAUGAAGAAAUCUUCCUUGGUGUUUUCUCCAAGCUAAGUUCGGCCAGCACCAGCAGAAAUGAGGAAGAAUGGCUAAGUGUUGAGGUUAUAUGGAUGGUAAUGGUCUUGGUAAGAAGCCAUGAGGUGGUGACAAGUGUCACCACCACCACCCUUUCUUUUUCUCUUUCUUUCUUGCCUUUCUUAGCCACAAUUUCGGUCAACAUGCUGCCAAGAGAGAAGAUAUUAUGUACAAAAGUCAACAAACUUGUUGGGUAAGAAAAAUGGUGGUCAAGUGGUGCGUUCAAUCGGUAAUGCGCGGGACCCGCCGGUUCGCGCCGUUUUUCUUAAAAACUCACGUACUAGGGUUUUUACUUCCCAUUCACUAACCUUAUAUCAUUGCUACUACUUACAUAUUAUUUCUCACUUAAAAGUCACUUUUAAUCAUCAAAUUGAUCCUCGGCCAGUACCGAAAAUUCAUCCGGCGGAAAAAUCGCAAAAACCCUAAUUUUGCUCAAAACUUGAAACCAAAGCGUAAAACCUUAUUUUCUAGGUUUAUUUACACUUAGUGUGAAAUAAUGAGGUAGGGGCCUUAAUAAAUAAUAAUUUUCAAAUAAAAGGUAUUUUUGAGGAAAAAUGUAGGAAAUUUGCGGGUCCUCACAUCCUCUCCCCCUUAAAAGAAUUUCGACCUCGAAAUUCAUACCUUUUGUCGCGAACAGGCCAGGAUACUUUUCUUGCAUAUCCGUUUCUAGCUCCCAAGUUGCUUCUUCCACUUCAUGAUGCUUCCAUAGUACCUUUACUAAAGGAAUCUGCUUGUUUCUCAAGUCCUUCACCUUUCGAUCCAGUAUUUGAAUAGGUCGUUCUUCAUAGGUUAAAGACUCGUCAAGUUCAACAUCUUCGGGUGGCAAAAUGUGAGUCGGAUCCGGAUGGUAUUUCUUAAGCAAAGAAACGUGGAAAACGUCAUGGAUCCUAGAUAAGCUAGCUGGUAACUCAAGUCGAUAAGCCACCUUUCCUAUUCGCUGAGCACCUUGAAAGGUCCUAUAUAUCGUGGUUGCAACUUUUUCCCUUUUCCGGAUCUAAUCUUUCCCUUCAAUGGUGUGAUCCGAAGAAACACCUUAUCUCCUAUUUCAAACUCCAAGUCUUUCCUCCUAUGAUCGGCAUAGCUUUUCUGACGGCUUUGGGCGGUUUGAAGUCUCUGGCGGAUCACUCUCACCUUUUCAUAGGUUUCCUCAACCCAUGGUAUAGUAGCCGGAUCUAUGACUUUUCUCUCCCCUACUUCAUCCCAAUGGAUUGGAGAUCGACAUCGUCGUCCGUACAAAGCUUCAUAUGGAGCCAUUUGAAUAGAGGAAUGAUAACUAUUGUUAUACGCGAAUUCAACCAAAGUCAAGUAUUGGCUCCAACUUCCUUUAAAAUCCACAAUACAAGCUCUCAGCAUAUCCUCAAGAGUUUGAAUAGUUCUCUCAGAUUGUCCAUCAGUUUGUGGAUGAUAUGCUGUACUAUAACUCAACUUAGUUCCUAGAGCCUCUUGUAACUUCUGCCAAAAUCGAGAUACAAACCUGGGGUCUCUAUCCGAUACAAUACUCACUGGUACCCCAUGUAAUCUUACUACCUCAUCCAUAUAAAUUUUAGCAAGUUUCUCCAAAGGAUAUUUCAUGUUCACUGGCAGAAAAUGUGCAGUCUUAGUUAAUCUAUCCACUAUCACCCAAAUUGCAUCAUGCCCCUUUUGUGUUCGUGGCAAUCCUGACACAAAAUUAUCGUUAUGUGCUCCCACUUCCACUCAGGGAUCUCUAAAGGCUGUAACAAACCUGACGGCUUUUGAUGCUCAGCUUUCACCUGUUGGCACGUAAGACAUUUUUGCACAAACUGGGCAAUCUCCGCCUUCAUUUUCUCCCACCAAUACAGAUUCCUAAGAUCUUGGUACAUUUUAUUAUUCCCUGGGUGCACCGUAUACCUAGAGCAAUGUGAUUCCUCUAAAAUCUCCCUUUUCAAUUCCUCAUCCCUAGGUACCACGACACGAUUUCGAAACUUUAAAAUUCCAUCAGGGCUUAGAUUAAAAUUAGGUAACUCCCCUUUCUUCACUCUCUCUACCCACUUCUGCACUAUUGGAUCCUUCACUUGGCCCUCUUUGAUUCGUUCCAUCAAUGCCGAUUUCGCCUCAAUAUUUCCAAAAACCACCUUUUCCGGUUCCAAACGAGGUUUCCACUCACAUACAUCUUCCAAUAGGCUCCACUCUCUCACUAUAGAACUUGCUAGUUGAGCCUUCCGGCUUAAAGCAUCUGCUACAACGUUGGCCUUUCCAGGAUGAUAGUUAAUUGUACAGUCAUAAUCCUCUAAGAACUCUACCCACCGACGUUGUCUUAGAUUCAACUCCUUCUGGGAAAACAGAUACUUAAGACUUUUAUGAUCCGUAAAAACCUCAAAAGUUACACCAUAAAGAUAAUGUCGCCAUUUCUUCAAAGCGAACACUACAGCUGCAAGUUCCAAGUCAUGGGUCGGGUAAUUUUGCUCAUGAGUUUUUAACUUUCGGGAUGCGUAGGCAAUCACAUUCCUAUUCUGCAUCAACACGCACCCUAGCCCUUCUUUUGAAGCAUCGGUAUAAACCGUAUAACUAUCCUUUCCAUUGGGCAAAGCUAAAACUGGAGCCAUAGUCAAUUGUUUCUUAAGCUCUUGGAAACCAUUUUCACACUUAACAUCCCAAAUAUAUUUUCCUUGUUUCUUGGUCAGGUUAGUCAAGGGUCCUGCAAUUCUCGAGAAAUUCUUUAUAAAUCUGCGGUAGUAUCCUGCUAAACCUAGAAAACUUCGCACCUCGGUGGGAUUUUCUGGCCGUUUCCAUUUAGCCACAGCUUCCACUUUCGCCGGGUCUACAGCAAGGCCAUCUUUCGAAAUUAUAUGACCUAAAAACGCCACCUCUUCCAACCAAAAUUCAUACUUACUGAACUUAGCAAACAGUUGGUUCUCUCUUAGGGUUUGCAAUACUAUCCGCAAAUGUUGUUCAUGCUCCUCCCUUGACCUCGAAUACACCAAGAUGUCAUCAAUGAACACCACUACAAACCUAUCCAAGUAAGGUUUGAACACUCGAUGCAUCAGAUCCAUGAAUGCUGCUGGGGCAUUGGUUAAACCAAAAGGCAUCACUGCGAACUCAAAAUGCCCAUAUCGAGUGUUAAACGCCGUUUUUGGCACAUCCUCCUUCUUAACUCUCAAUUGAUAAUACCCUUGUCGCAGGUCCAACUUAGAAAAUACUACAGCCCCUUGUAACUGAUCAAAUAACUCAUCUAUGUGGGGCAAAGGAUAUUUAUUCUUAAUAGUUACUGCAUUCAGCCCUCGAUAGUCAAUACACAACCUCAAACUUCCGUCUUUCUUUUUAACAAAUAACACUGGAGCUCCCCACGGCGACUCGCUCUCAUGUAUAAACCCCCGUUCUAGCAAGUCCUGUAAUUGCACCUUUAAUUCCUUAAACUCAGCAGGUGCCAUACGAUAAGGAGUUUUAGAAAUAGGAGUGGUUCCGGGUACUAAAUCAACCUUAAAUUCCACCUCCCUUUCAGGUGGCAAGGACUUCAACUCCUCCGGAAAUACGUCCGGGAAUUCACUGAUUACUGGCAUGUCUUCCAACUUAGUCUUUUCUCCUGGAGUGUUAAUUAGGAAGGCUAGGUAACCACGAGCCCCACGACUAAGUAAUUUCCUAGCCCUUAUACCCGAAAUAAGUGCAGAAGAGGCUAUCAUACCCCUCACAUCAAGCUUUAGUGUUGCCUCCCCCGGUAUACAAAAUUCAACCACCUUCAUCUUACAAUCUACCCGAGCAUGAUAAUAAGCUAGCCAAUCCAUACCUAGGAUAACAUCGUACCCCUUAAUGGCUAGACUAAUGAGGUCCACUACCAAUUUUCGUUCGCCAAUCCAAAUAUCACAAUUCCUAUACACCUCAUUCGCAAGCAAAAUUUGAUUACCUGUAGGUGUUUUUACCUCUAAGUCACAAGGUAACCUUUCAACUUUCAAGUCAAUUCCAAACAUAAAUGCAGGAUUAACAAAAGAGUGAGUAGCACCGGGGUCUAUCAAAAUUCUAGCUAACCGGUGAAAAACAGGGAUUGUACCUUCUACCACCCUGGUUGGUUCAGGCACAGUUGUUUGAUCUAGCGAGUACACUCUGGCCGGUACCCUCGACCUGGCCCCUCCAGCAGUAGUCGGCUUUGGGUUUGACCUGGCAGUCGACUGAGUGUCAUUGAUUAGCGGACAAUUGACCAUCUGAUGAUCCGCACUUCCGCACCUCAAGCACUUCCGAGCCUUUCUCCAGCACUCGUCCUCAGUGUGGUUCGAUUUUCCACAAUACCCACAUGUCACUCGGGGAGUGGAGGUUUGACCUCCCUGAGUAAAACCUCUACCUUGACCUCUACCACCUUGGCCUCCCCUCUGGGCAUUCCCUCUUGGAGCACUGCCCCUAAACGUGUUUGAGAAUCGUCCACCUCCAGCUCCACGACCGGAUUUAGCAGGUGGCAUGCUCCGCUCGCCUCGUACCGACCCUUGGGCUCCACUAGGUGCCCCUUUUCGCUUAGCGUGGAAAUUCCUUACUUGCGUCCUAGCAGUUUCUAUCCUCAAGGCCUUCUCCAGAACCUCCGUGAAAGUAUUGAUUUGAACCGCUGCUAAGGUUUCUUGUAAUUCCACAUUUAACCCUUGUAUAAACCUUCGUACUUUCCUUGGUUCCGUAGCAAUCAAUUCGGGAGCGAAUUUAGACAAUUUGGUAAACUGAGUCUCAUACUCCGUUACACUCAUCAGCCCCUGACGGAGUUUAAUGAAUUCGUACUCUCUCUUCUCCUGGACGAUGGGUGGAAGGUAUUUUUCGUUGAAAUCCCGCACAAAGUUUAACCAAGUCCAUACAGUUCCUUCUCUCUCCCAUUUGGCCCUUAUCACAUUCCACCAAGCCCUAGCUGGCCCCUCAAACUGGAAUACAGCAAAUUGAACUUGUCUCUCCUCAGUAUAGUUUAGGGCAGCAAAGAUAUUUAUCAUGGCCUCCAGCCAUUUCUCAGCCUCAUACGGGUCUGGUCCUCCUAAGAAUUUGGGUGGAGAGAACUUCUGGAAUCUCUCCAAGGCUCUAUCUUGCCCUGAAUCAGGGUCUCUAGGUUGAUUUACAGAACCUUGACCCUGUUGCUCCACCAACCGAGUCAAAAUAUUGGUCAUCUGUUGGAUGGCAGUGGCCACCUGAUCUCCCCCGGCAGUCUGGGGUUCAGGUUGCUGCUCAACCGCUGCCUCCCUCUCCUCUCUGGGUUCAGGUACCGGUUCCUGUACUUGUUCACCUUCACGGCCUCGCCUAGAACCGCGUUCUCGGUUAGUUUUCUUGGUCCGACUCCUUUUAUCUUCUAUGUUGAGAGUUAACCAACUAGAAACAUAUAAACGGGGUAAGGUACGACUCAUAUAUCGCGUUGCAACAAAUAUCUAGAGGCAAGAAAACACGUAAGAAACAAGCACUUUAUUUACAUAACAAACAAGUCGUAUAUACAGGCCAACAAGUCACGUAGUCAAAGGCUAUAACAGCCAAGGAACAUAGAACAAAAGAUAUUUACAUCCACCAGAACACGUCUAAAACAAAAACAAAAGAAGACAUGUCGUUCCACUAUGUUUCUAACUAGCUCACAAAAACUCCUAAAACCCCGAUCCUAACAAGUGGUCUGGCUAGACGCCGACCCAACCGACUCCGAGGACGCGCUCGGCUCCUCCCCCAGGUCCUCUUCAGGAUCCUCCUCAGGAGUACCAGGGACCUCAGGAACUACAGGCGCUUGGCCUUCCUCGACCAAGUCCUGUAUCACAUCCUCUACAAGUGCUUCGCACUCGGUCAGGAUGCGGUCGGUCCGGUCGCGUAUAUCUCCAACGACACGCAUCAGACGUCCGGUCGUCGCAUGAGCCUGAUCACGGUAAGCAUCAGACUGCUGCUGCUCUGCCAGAACUGCGGCCUCCAACUCGCGUAUCCGAGCUCCCUGAUCUCGGAGAGUGGCCUGGAGACGCUCUAUCUCCGCAAAGCACCUACGAUUGGUGCUACCCAAUCGUCUCCGCUCGUCAUCCACGGCGAGCACUACUCGGUCUGGAUAGGAGUAGGUCCUCCAACAGUCGCAGCGCCGGAUCUUGCGCGCAGGGGACCACCGCUGUACUGGCCCGCCGGGAACCUCCUGGUAUGUGAUCACACGGCAUACAGGGCCCGCUAGAUAUGGCUCGACCACGGGAGCGUCAGUAGGUACGUCAGUAGGCACCUCAGACACAUCAGUAGGUAUCUCCGUCGGUAUGUCAGUAGGUGCGGGGUGGGACGGUCCAGCACCCCCAGAAGAGUCAGUGUCUGCCAUCACCUAGGUUUGCAAAUAACAUUGCAAGGGUAAGUACACAUCAAGCACAAAACAAGACUAAGGUUAAGCUCGAUAAUAACACCCUAGCUUAUCAAGUCAAGCACUCAAUCUAUCCAGAUCAAUUCAAGCCUAAGCUCUGAUACCACCUGUGACGACCCCACCUCCCCCUAAGGCGUACCAAAGGGUUCGGCGGACCGCCUGCCCAGCUCUCGCAAGGACUCACUCACUAUCUCAAUCGAAUCGUAUACACACAUCCAUGAACCAUAAAUAACAUUCACAAUUCAAACUUAUAAUUUACAUUGAUAGGAAUCGAGGUACAAAGUCUUAAUACACCCAACUAGUUCAAAACGUAUACAAUCCAAGUACAACAUGUUCCGUUCGAGGAAAAACGCGAGUACAAGACCAAAAGUCCGAAGUCAAAACAAAAGGCAACACUAGUCUUUUACAAGUCCCUCGCGUCACUCGUACCCCUGUAAGGAAAACAAACUAACGGGGUGAGCCAAAGCUCAGUGAAGUUCCCAAAUAUCAAAUUGGUCAGCAACCAAAUUAUAGCAAAAUAAAAGUGAAAUAGCGAGCAAACAAGUCAAAUCAGGGAAAUAGUACUUCAGCUAGCCAAGUAGUCAGAUUCAUAUUCACAUAUAAGGAUACAGUACUCAUUUUCAGCUCCAUUCCAGCUUGGUUAAGUGGUAGUUGACACUCCGUCAACUUUCAAGUAAUAUCCAGUCCAAAUAAACUCCACUACACGCCAAUUUCCGUCCACCGAUCAACCCCCUAUUCCGGGCCCGCACGCCAUACAAAACAUGGGUGGUAAUACUCGAGUAUACCGUUAGUCGAGGAGAUAAUACUCCACUCGACAUUACAAGUGACCCAGGGUUUGUUAUCUAAUCGACCAGGCCCUUGCCGGCUCGACUCGAUUAACUAGCCACAGGGUUUUCUGGAAUUCCAGGCAAGAUAUAAUUCAAGUACAUGUACAACAAGUCAAGUAUGAUCAAUAGCAAGAACAGGUCAUAUUAGGGCAAGUGCGAUAAAGUACACUCUUGCCCUUUCAUUCAUUGUCAUGUAAUCACGCAAGUCAAGUAAGGAGUACACAUAUCAAGUACAAUCGGAUAUUUGGAAGCACUCACCAAAAUAGUGCUUCUAGUGCUCGUGUCUGGGUGGUACUCUGAGUUGGGAGUCCAAAUCUGCGAUAAAACUUAACUUGAGAACUUUGAAAAUCAACCAAGGUUCGAAACUUAAGCGUUUCGUUCAAUAAGAAUCAAGAAAUUGAAAUUCACUUGAGAAGAGUCGUGAAAUAGUUGCUCGCUCUUCAAACUGAAAAAUUUGAUAACAUUUUUGCUUGAAGAUGACUCUUAAGUCAAAAGUGCAAGUAAAACGGUUUCGUAGUGAUUCAAAUCGUUUUCCUAAGGGUACAAGUUCGGCCAAGUCCUAACGUAUAAUCCUUGAUAAACAAGUGGCAAAGGUCCUCGAUAGUUCAAGUGAUAAUCACUUAACCUUCACUCAAGUCGCAAAGAUAGUUUUCUAGACCUCGAGUAAAAAUUCGGGCAGCAUGCCCUUUGUGUUUACCUAAUUUCCAGCCAUUUAAGCUUCAUUAUUUUUCUUCAACAAUAACCCAACAACAUACAUAUCAGCAAUUCAAGCCAAGAGCCGUCUCAUAGGCUCACAAUAUCAUAAUAACAAGAAUCGUAUUAAGUACAAGUGCAGAAACGCAAUUUAGUUCAAGACAGAUUUGACGUACAAAUGCGGAAAUAACAUAUCCGAGGCUACACUUAUUGGAUUGAGACGAAACCUAUGCCAUUUCGAAGCUAAGACACAAAGCUACAACAUUCAUGGAGGUCACUUAGUCCAUUUCCUAAUGUAACUUAGUCAAAAUCUCAGAUUACUAAACCAGAAACCAAUUCACCGGCUGUUUAAACGCAGAACACUGUAAUGAUCAUAACUCAGUGUACACAAGUCCGAAUCAGGUGUUCUUAGAGGCAUUUUAAAGCUACUUCAGAGCACUACAACUUUCAUGUUUUGGCCCAGAGAUAAAUCAGAAUGGAUCCUGGUCUAAAAUCGUGAUAAACUGGACUGAAUUGAAGAAACGGACUGCUGGGAAAUUCUUAGAACAGUAGGGGUAUUUUGGACUUUUCACGACCUACAUUGCUCCGAUUGAGCUGAAAUUUUACAGACACCUAUAAAAUGCCAUUCUCUACAACUUUCCUUCUUUGGCCAAAGGCCAAUUCGGCCUCUAACAUACAGAUACAAUUUCGGACAGAAUGCUUGGGAAAUUUUCCAGAAAUCUGGAAUUUUUAGCUCUAAGUGUAAUUUCCUCAAAUUUCUGGUUCUAAUGACCACUAAACAACCUUAUAUAACUUUAAUUGCAACAUUCAUGCAUCAUACAUCAACUUGAGCAGAAAAUCAGAAACCCUAGUUCAUCAAAUAAAUUGGGGAAAAGCUUCUACACAUGCUAGCAUCCAUGAAUCUACCACCAAUCAAGCUACUAAGCUUACUUUAACCAUGAUUGAAAGAGAAAGUUAGAGAGAUAUCAUCCUCUUACCUUGAUUUGAGUUCUCCAAGUAUAGCCCCAAGCUCUCUCUUCCCAAAUUUCCACCACCAAUCACUAGAUAAUCACUCAAGAGUAGGUUUAAUCGGUUUACUUUGUUGAUUUUCUCACUAAGUUGUUGGAUUUGAAGGUGAAAUGAAGAAAUCUUCCUUGGUGUUUUCUCCAAGCUCCUCUCGGCCAGCACCAGCAGAAAUGAGGAAGAAUUGGCUAAGUGUUGAGGUUAUAUGGAUGGUAUUGGUCUUGGUAAGAAACCAUGAGGUGGUGACAAGUGUCACCACCACCACCCUUUUUUUUUUCUCUUUCUUUCUUGCCUUUCUUGACCACUAAUUUUCAGUCAAGGCUGCUACAAUAUAAGAAGAUAUUAUGUACAAAAGUCAACAAACUUGUUGGGUAAGAAAAAUGGUGGUCAAGCGGUGCGUUCAAUCGGUAAUGCGCGGGACCCGCCGGUUCGCGCCGUUUUUCUUAAAAACUCACGUACUAGGGUUUUUACUUCUCAUUCACCAACCUUAUAUCAUUGCUACUAGUCACAUAUUAUUUCUCACUUAAAAGUCACUUUUAAUCAUCAAAUUGAUCCUUGGCCAGUACCGGAAAUUCAUCCGGCGGAAAAAUCGAAAAACCCUAAUUUUGCUCAAAACUUGAAACCAAAGCGUAAAACCUUAUUUUUCUAGGUUUAUUUACUCUUAGUGUGAAAUAAUGAGGUAGGGGCUUUUGAUAAAUAAUAAUUUUCAAAUAAAAGGCAUUUUUGGGGAAAAAUGUAGGAAAUUUGCGGGUCCUCACAUGGGACGUUACAAAAGAUCUUAAUCAUUGGAUCGCGUUCUCAAAGACUAAGUAAAAUGAUCCAACAUCUGGAAUCUGACGACUCGGUAUACCGAUGGGAUGUUAGUUAAUGAUACUCUUGAAUUAUUGCAGAAUAUUGGUUGUUGAAAAUUUUCAUGGGCGCUUAAAUGUUUAAGUGAUGCUGCCCACUCUUUUGCUAAUCUUUUAAUAGAUUAUGUGAGUAUAUGGGAUCCUUGGUGCAACUCAUACUACUUCUAUGUUUAUGUCAAGUGUGCUAUUUAUUUAAAUUGUCAUAUACUCUUUAAUUUUAUAAUAACUCAAAUUGAUUUGAUUUAACUCAAGUUUCCUUUAACCUCACAUAGUAAGUGGGACUGAUAUUGAAUUUAAUAUCAAAUACUGGUAUUGAGAAUCCCAACUCUUAUGUGGAAGAACUCCCCUCCAUUUUUUGCUAUUCCACAUAUGCUGCGGAUCUUCCUUAAUGAAAUCGGCUUUAAGUUUUUCUAGAAAAAAUAAUUCAUUGGACCGCAUGUAUUAGUAACUUUUAGUCCCAUAGCUUAUUCACAAGAAUUAAUGCUAAUGCUAUUAAUAAGCUAACUAGAAAUCAUCUAGUAUAAUUUGUUUCAUAAAAUUAGAAGAGGAAUUCUAUAAAAAUUCAGUUAGGCUGGUAGAUUUAGCAUAGUUUACUAAAGUAUGCAAAACUUUAUUUGCUCCCCUGAAAAUUCUUUGAAUAUCACCAUAAUUUUGUUCUAACAAAACCAAUCGCACGUCUGCAAUCAUAGGUUGUUUAGAUGGUACACUUGUACUUAGUGGCGGAGCCAGAAAAAAUUUUCAGUGGGGGCAAAAGCAACUGUAAAAUUUUUUACCUACUCUUUUUUUAGUUUUUUAAGGAAAAAAUAUUGACCAACAAGUACAAAUGAUGCAUAUAUUUCAUGAAAAACAUUAAAAGACAAACUGAAAAUUAUUAAUGUAAUAAUAAUUUUAUUUCAAAAGCAAACUAAAUCAUUUACAAUUGUUCAUGACGAGUUUUCAUAUUUUGAUAACGGUUUACAACCUUUUCAUUUUGAAUUCCACGAAAUAUAUUUUUCUCAAUAUAAGUAACUAAACAAUUAUUCAUCCAAGUGUCUUCCAUUUUAUUUUGUAACCGAUUCUUCACUAUAUUCAUCAUUGAAAAAACCCUUUCUAUGGUAGUUGUAACAACAUGUAAAAUCAAAGACAACUUUAAAAGUAUAUAAACCAAUAGAUACAUAAAACACCAGGGGCACACUUGAAAUUAUAUCAAAUUUUUAUAGGUAUCAUAGAAAUUUAAGGGGGUAGUGGGGGCCUAUAAACCAAUAAAUACACAAAACUCGAGGGGGCACGCUUAAAAUUACAUCAAAAUGUUAUAGGUAUCAUAGAAAUUUAAGAGCCCCCAAGUGUAAAUUCGCCACUACUUGUACUCAUUUGGCAGGUUCAAUUCGACAAGAAAUCAGCAACCUAUUCAAAAGGGGUAACGUGAAUUGCACGCGUUCUCCCCCUUAGGUUAGGAUAGUGUAAGAUAGUAUAGAUAAAGUGACCAUUGACAAAAAAAAAAAAAAGAAUUGCAUGUGUUCUGAAAAUAUUGAAAAAUUGCAAAGCUUAGUUCCUUAUCUUAAUGAGUAAAUCUUAUAUGCAUUGAUAGAAUAUACACUAUUACCGCUAUAUUUUUGACAUUUGAGCAAAACUUGAAUUCAAAUUCAAAUUUUGCGUGUUAUCAUUUAUCAAAUACUGACAGUGUAUACACUAUCAGUGUAGAAAAGAUUAAUCCUAUCUUAAUUAAGUCGUUGUUUAAUUACCACGGGAUUCAUCAUUCAUGGCUAACAAAUUCAGAGCUUUACUAUUAAAAAUUUGAUCAAAUUAGUCCCUUUAUUAGAAAACCGGUCCCUUAAAUUUAAAGAUUUGGUCAUUGUGACCAUAAAAAUUAUAAAAUUUACAUCAAUUAAUUUGCAUUGGACGAAUUUCAACUUGUAAGGCAAUUGAUACACCUACAUGUAUAGAAGACUUCGGUCAAAAUGAGUACCGUUGUAAUUGUUUAGAAUAAUUGCUCAAUCAGAUAUAUUGGGAGAUGUUAUUGGCUUAUUUAAAAAUGUCUUUGCUGCUCCAUUUCUCUCUUUAUGCUUUUAAAGCGAGGAUGGAGUGCUAAAUGCUUUUUUAUAAGUGCUAAUAUCAUAAUUUUCUCGUAUUCUUCCAUUGAUUAGACAUUAUUGGUCUUUGUUGACGAUAGUUACUCACCGAUCAGUAGGGUCUGCAGUUGAAAUAGACGCAUCUCUACCAUGUAGAAGUGUAGAAGAGAUGAAGGUCUUAUGAAUAGCAUGGGCGUCGUCCGCUGACUUGCUCUGCGAGGCUUACUUUUUUUUUUUUGGCCUUUUUAUCAUAUGGGUUAUGAGGAUCCACAAAGAGCUCACGUUCAACUAAUGGGUAACAGAACGAGACAUCUAUGGACCUUAAAUUUAGACUAAAGACCCCACGAUCUUCCGAUGUGGAUGAUUGUCCAACUCCUCGUGGAGACUCACAAAGAACCUACGUUUAACCAAUUAGUGACAGAAUGAGAUCCCUAUAGACCUUAAACCCAGAAUAAAGAUCCCACGAUUUUUCGAUGUGAGAUGGGCCAUUUGUGUCUCUAUCGUUUUGUGUCUUUAUUUACCAUGCUGGUUUGUUACUUUGUUAUUUGUUGUGUGUUCUGUAAUACCCCUUUCAUGUGCCAUUUAUUUCAGCUUUGCCAUAAUCUUUAUUUCAUCAUUAAACUUUAAUGGAUAAUAUAUUUCUUUAUCUUGCUAUUUGCACAUACAUCAUUCUCUAUUCUAAAAUUUCUAACAAAAAAUAUGUAUUUAUAUAUGGUAGUUUUAUUUUUAUUUAUUUUUUUUGCAGAUACACUUCCUCAUAAUAAUACUGCAGAUGCCAUAUUUUCAUCUGGAAAUAACAGAACUGGUACAUAAUUCUUUCUAUGCAAAAAAAUUAUUUUUUGCUUGUUUAUACUGAAAAUACUAUUAGCUGUCUAACAUAUUAUGUAACCAUAGAUCGUAGACACCUUGUACACAUACUAUGUUUUAUUGAUGUCUAAGAAUACUAAUAUUUAAGUGUUAACCUUCUUAUGGAUUUUAGAAAGUCUUAUAUUUUUACUGUAGCACUUUUUGGAUGUGUUUGGAUUGUAAGUUAUUUGAGAUAUUUUUACUGUAACACUUUUUGUGAUGUGAUGUAUGUGAGAUAAAAAGGUAAUUGGGAAGAUAAAAAGGCAUAUUGGAAAUUGUAAUAGUGAUGUAAGCAAAUAUAUUUAGACAAAUAACUUACAAUCCAAACACAUAUGUGACAUCUAUGAUGUUUGAUGCCCACGCAGAAAUAUAAACCUCCAUGUACCUUGGUUUAGCAUGCAUAUGCAUAUAUCACAUGUAUACUUUUGUAUGGAUUAUGUGUACACAUAUAUGUAUCUAUAUGUGAAUUUCUACAUGUAUUAAAUAUAUCUACUCUUCUUGGUCUUAUAUUUUUACUCAUGCAUUUAUUAAUAAAACUGAUGUCUAUAUUUGUUUACAUGAACAAAAUGAUAUUAAAGAUUAGUUUUUUGGUUUAAAUGAAUGCUUUUCUAUCUCAUAAUAAUUCUAGAAAAUUAUGAAAUUAGCAUAUCAAUUGCACUUAUUAUUAUGAUUAAGGAAUAACUUCUUUUCUCCCGCCCCCCAACCCAAAAAAAAUUAUUAUACUUAAUAAAAAAACUUUCUUAAAAAAAAUUAACAACUCCUUAAACGUCUAUAUAUUCCAUAACCAUUAAUGUUUUCCUUCCUUUGACUUUGUUUAGAAAAUAAUAUUUAAGUACUUAUUAAACAUCUGUAUAUUUCAUAAUCGCUACUGUUUUUUUUUUUUUUUUUUUUGCUUUUUGCAAUGCUUCAUUUAGCUUAUCUUCUUCAUCUCCUCUUAUUUGUUUGGUCUUCUCCAUGCAAGCAAUAAUUUAUCCUCUGGCACUCUCAUCUUGGCAUUGCAAUUCUUUUUCAUAAUGAUGUUCUUCACCUUCCUCGGUUUCUUCAUCUUUCUUUUUUAGUAUGAUGUGUUUAUGCUGGGAUCAUGUUCUACUUUUUCCUCAAGACAUAUAAUGGCUUGCUUUUCUUUGUAGUUUAUUCAGUUUAGCUAUAUACGAGAUGAAACAAUAUUUCCUCAUAACCGUUUUGGCUAAUACAAGAUGAAACAAUAUUUCAUCAUUCAACAAAAUCUUUCUUUUGUUGGAAGUUUUUUCCUUCAAAAUUUCAUUGAUAAUUAUUACUUGCAUUCUAUUUCCAUUUAUUCUUGUGAACUUAUUUUUGAGUUUUAUUUACAUAAUAUACCACUACAAAAUAAAAGAAAAGCCAAAAGAUCAUAUAAAAAUUGCGGGUUCCACCAACUAGUUAAUAUUUAAUACUCGACAAAGUAAAAAUAUUGUCCUCAAUUGGUAGGUGAAGGAGCGUAUUGUAUUUGUCUUCUAAUCAUCACAUUGUGGCUACAAAUCUCUCUUUUUUAAUUCAUUAAAUCGGUUUCAAAAAUAUUUAGAUCAACAUCAAAAGUUCCCAUAAUUCAUCAAACAGCAUCUAUGACUUUCAUACCAUUCUUUUGAUUUUUGAUGUUUAUUACUAGAAGCCAAAUAUUACAAUUAAUUUGCUCUUGGAUGUGAUUGUAAUUGUGAAGCAUAGUUGCAAAAAUGGACAGCGUGAAUUAGAGUUCAGACUUCAUAAUCAUAACUGAAUCAUUUUAAGGUUUUGAAAUCAAGUACAAAAGUUUAGGGUAAUCAUACCCUGCCUAGCUCCCUGAACUAUGGGUAAUCACAUUUUGUACCCAUCAACUAAACGUUUUACUCACAAUAUGAAAAGGGGAUAAUUUCAGAAACUUCCCCUGAGGUUUCUGACUGUUUCAUUGAGGUUUGCAAUAUUACAUUGGCCUUUCCUGACAAAAAUUUGGGCUCGAUUACUUACAUCACAUGGCGUAAAAUUACUACUAUGCCUAAAGAUAUUAUGCAUUAUUAGAAGAUUAAUAUCUAAUAAAUGAAUAAUUAGGGCUCAAAUUAAUUAAUUCCAAUUGAUUAAUGAACAUAAAUAUGGUCCUUAAUAAGAAACUAUAAUUGCAAAUACACAAAUGGGGCCAAUUGAUAUACUAAUAUGGCGCCAUUUUUUUUUAUUAACAUCAAUAAUAAGGACAACAAAUCGGUUUUAUAGAAUAUGAGAAGAAGGCAUCUCGUAGAAGAAAGAAAACUAAGAAGAAAGAUGGAGAAAAUGAAGGUUGAACAUGAGAGAAAUUUCUAUUGAAACUCAUGAUGCUGUGAUAGUAGCAAAGUAAUUUUGUAGUUUUAAAGGAGAAAGGAGAGAGUAUAAAGGCAAAAUUUGAAAUUAUUUCUAUUGUAAAUCGUAAUUAUUACAGCAAUACAGUAAUGGAUCUCUCCUUAUCUCAGUCUAAUAUUGGAAAGAUGACAUAGUAGUUGAAGCAUGACAAAAGUUAUCAUCUAUUAUAUUGAUAAUAAUUAUUUCUAACUUUUAUUCGUUUUGAUACAACUUAUAUAGCUACAAAAGGGGCAUUUGUGGAAAUAAUUUUUCAGCUUUCUCCUCAAAACGCUUUUUUAAGUGUACUUUUUAUGCUUUGGACUUAUUUCAUUACCAAAUACUUAACCUCAAGGGAGGUUUGUGCAAUUUUACAAAUCUUAAGGGAGGUUAGUAAAAUAGUUGGAAAUCUCUGGAGAGGUUUAAGAAAUUAUCCCUAUGAUAAAAACAAAGGAGUAACGGAACACGCGUGUGAUGGUACUGAUCCCCAACUCAUGUUGGAUUUAUUUUAUUAAUAAGGACGAUUUAUUUAUUUAAAAAAGAAAACCGUGGAAAUGCUGGUAACUAUUAAACGUUUGUAUACAGCAUGAAAAGUAAAAGAGGUAAGGCGCCCGCCGGAGGUGGUGGGGUUGGUGGUCGAAGGACGCAAGAUGGUGGAGUGUCAAAUAUGCUCAUGGGGAACACCAAGAAGUUAACUACACUGUCUUGAAACUAAAAUUUCUCAAAUAUCUUUAGUAUUCUCGGCAUGGUUAGGAAUAUGGACAACUACAAGAAGUUAUGCAUUGAACUUGUAUUGUCUACUUGUCUGGUAGUAUCUACUUUGGCCAUGUCCACAACCAACUUCACCACUGAUCAGUUAGCCCUUCUUAGCUUGAAACAGCAUAUAACUUCUGAUCCUGGAGGUUCAAUCUUGGGAAACAAUUGGUCCACUGCAGUCUCCGUCUGCGAGUGGAUUGGAGUCACUUGCAGCCCUCGCCAUCCGGGCAGAGUUACUCAGGUUAAUAUUUCGAACAUGGGUCUGGCGGGCACCAUUCCUGCAGACAUAGGAAACCUCUCGUUUCUUGUUUCUCUUGACAUGAGAAAUAAUAACUUUCAUGGCGUGCCACCAGAAAGGAUGGUUAAUUUGCGUCGAUUGAGGUACAUUGAUCUGAGAUUCAACAACUUUGUUGGAGAGGUACCAUCAUGGUUCGGUUUUUUGGAUAAGCUCCAAUCCCUGCUUUUAUCCAAGAACCAGUUUAGUGGAGUUAUACCAAAACAAAUUGGGAAUCUCUACAAGCUUGAGCACCUGAGAAUGCCCUACAACAACUUGGAAGGUACUGUCAAUCCAUCUAUUCGUUAUGCAGUUUGUCACAAUCAAGAAAUGACUAUGUAAAGUUUGAUUAAAGACCGGGGGAAGUAUCUAUCCUAUGCACUUGUCAUUGAAAUUAAAGACUUGGGUAGGCCUCUGUAGGUUCUCCUCGGGAGUAACUAUGCCUAAGCAAAUGAAAAUCAAAAUAGGUACAAGUAUCUGAUUUCAACCCAAAGCUUACUUAGCUUCUACAUGCAUGAAACUUUGUUAACCUCAGAAAAGGUGAUGUAAUUAACGGUUUUGCAGGAGGAAUACCAAAAGAGAUUUGUAAUUUAACCAUGCUCAAAAGCUUAGUCUUAUGCAGCAACCACCUGACAGGUACGUUACUCACCCUUCAAAGAUGCAGAAUUAUCACUUACUUUACCUCCAUGAACAUUCAUUUGCAUCAAUCUCUUUUUUGACCUUUUUAGUUGUCCAGUCUGGUAGAUAAUAGGCUUAGAAGCGUAGUUGCCGGGAUAAUAGAACCGUUGUGUAUUACUUACUAUAAGUUGAUUCUUUUGGUGAUGAUAAUAUGAUCUAUAUUUUAUCAUAUUAGAAUUAGUGCUGAACAUUCUAAUUCUAAUACGAUAAAACAAAGACCUUAAUCAUUGGACCAUAUUAGUAACUUUUAGUCUCAAGGUUUAUUCAGAAGAACUGUACCACAUAAUGAGGCUUCAUUUGUGCGAGCUUAAUUGUAGUUGUAUGGAUGGUACUCAUUUUGGAUUGGCAGGUUCGAUUCCACAGGAAAUCGGCAACUUGAUCAAAUUGGAGAAUCUUUGCCUUCAAUUCAACAGCUUAACUGGUUCGAUUCCAAUUGGGAUAUUUAAUAUUUCGGCCCUGCAGAUUUUCUCACUUGUAAGAAAUCAUAUUAUUGGCAAUCUUCCACCAAACUUUGGUUAUGCUCUACACAACUUGGAAGAAUUUGUAAUUGGUGGGAAUAACUUGAGUGGAGUUAUACCCAGGUCUAUCUCAAACUGUUCAAAACUGGCCAGAUUAUCCCUUGGUCAGAACAAAUUCACUGGCAAAGUUCCCAAUUCCAUUGGAGAUUUAAGACUUCUUGAAGUCCUGGAUUUAUCUGAGAAUGAUCUGACGAGUGAUCAAUCUGAAUCUCCAGAGUUGAGCCUCAUCACUUCUCUCACAUAUUGCAAAUCUUUAACAAGACUUGCAUUGGCAGGUAAUCCUCUCAAUGGCAUGCUCCCUGUCACCAUUGGAAAUCUUUCUAAUUCUCUUGAAAAGAUAUAUGCACGUAGCUGUAGGAUCAGAGGUAGCAUUCCAGAGAGCAUUGGCAACUUAAGCAACUUGAUAGUAUUGAGCAUAUUUGACAAUGCCUUGACUGGUUCCAUCCCUAGUACACUCAAAGGUUUGCAAAAGCUUCAAGGUCUAUUACUUUACGACAACAACAUCGAAGGAACCAUUCCUACCAAUCUUUGUAAUUUACCAAGUUUGAGUACCGUGGAUGUAAGCCAUAAUCAAAUUUCAGGUACCAUCCCAGAAUGUAUAGGUAAUCUCACAUCUCUAAGGAAUCUCCAUCUUGGAUUCAACAGAUUAGCCUCUAGUCUUCCUAGAAGCUUGUGGAAUCUCAAGGAUCUCUUGAAACUUAACCUAACAUCAAAUGUCUUAAUUGGAUCUCUUCCUCCAGAAAUUGGAAAGCUAGAGGUUGUAAUGUUGUUAGACUUGUCUGUGAAUCGUUUCUCGGACAGCAUACCUAGUACAAUUGGGGCGCUGGAAAAUGUGAUUCGCCUUUCUUUGGCACGUAAUGCCAUUCAAGGCUCAAUUCCUGAGUCACUUAGUUACUUGUUAAGCCUUGAAUUUUUGGACCUGUCGCAUAACAACCUUUCUGGUUCAAUUCCCAAGUCAUUGGAGGCUCUUAAAUUUCUCAAGUACUUCAAUGUUUCUUUUAAUGAUUUAAGAGGUGAAAUUCCAUCUGAUGGUCCUUUCCAAAACUUCAAUCCUGAAUCCUUCAUAUCCAAUGCAGCAUUGUGUGGAGCAUCUCGUUUUCAUGUCAAAUCAUGCGAAACUGUUGCUGAGCAUAGAUUGAAGCACAAGAGGAAUAUACGGAUCAUUUUUGUUGUGUUAGGAACUGCAACUGUACUAAGUGCCAUGGCCUUUGGAUUCCUUUUCUUCAGAUACCGAAAGAAAGAUAUCGUCUCGAGUCGAAGAAAUUUCUCGUCAUUGAUGUCCAAACCAAGAUUUUCAUACAAUGAACUUUUUCAAGCAACUGAUGGUUGGAAUAAUAGAAAUUUACUUGGCUUGGGGAGCUUUGGAUCUGUUUACAAAGGUACUUUUCGUGAUGGGAUAGUUCUGGCUAUCAAAGUAUUUAAUUUGGAACUAGAAAUGGCAUUUGAGAGCUUCGAUGCAGAAUGUGAGAUGUUGAGCAAUUUUCGCCAUCGCAAUCUAACUAAAGUUAUAACUUGUUGCUCUAAUGCUGAUUUUAAGGCCAUAGUGCUUGAAUACAUGCCUAAUGGUAGCCUUGAGAACUGGUUGUAUUCCCAGAAUCAUUUCUUAGAUGCUACGCAGAGAUUGACUAUCAUGAUUGAUGUCGCAUAUGCACUGCACUAUCUUCACCAUGGUCAUUCAACACCAAUGGUCCAUUGUGAUCUGAAGCCUAGUAAUAUCUUGCUCAGUCAAGAUAUGGUUGCACAUCUUUGUGAUUUUGGUAUCUCUAAAUUGUUGAGCCAAGAAAGCAGCUUUACAUACACUCAAACACUGGCUACAUGCGGAUAUGUUGCACCAGGUAACUCUAUACAGUAUAUGCACGAACACAACCAUGUCAUAACUCAUACGCAGUUUGUUAUAGUAACCUUCAUCACUGAUCUUUUUGCAUGCUUAUUGCUGUAGAGUAUGGAUCUGAAGGACUGGUUUCGACGAGAUGUGAUGUUUACAGUUAUGGAAUUGUAUUGAUGGAAGUAUUCACCAGAAAAAAGCCGAAUGAUGAGAUGUUUGGUGAAAAUUUGAGCUUGAAGAGUUGGAUACUUGAUUCUUUGCCAAAUGCCAUAGUUCAGGUUAUAGAUGCCAACUUGAUUAGGCCUGAUAAAAGCAGCUUUAGCCAGGAGCUAAAUUGCAUAUCAGCUAUAAUGGAAGUGGCAAUGAAAUGCUCAAGAGAUUCGCCAAGAGACAGAAGUACAAUGGGAGAUGUUCUCGAGGAAUUGAAAAAGAUCAAACUUCUUCUUUCAGCAUUGGACAGAGAAGAUUGAGUCUCAUCUGAUCAAUGGCAAGUGAGGACAUACUGUGGUCAUUAGCUGAAGUCAGAGUUACUUACAAAGGAGUUUUAUAAUCGUUGAUGACUUCAGAUGAAGUUUGUCAUGCUGCCACAGAAUGAGGUUCUUGGUUCUUGAUGGAAAUCAAAAGACAGAGGGAAACUUUUGGGCGUGGUGAUUUUUUUUACACUCGCAACUUUGGAUGUGUGCUACAUAUGCAUAAUCAGAAUUUUAAAUUUAGAUUCAUGUUAUAUGACAUGAUCUAAAUUUACUAGUUUAAAAAAUGUAUAUAUACACCAACAGCAUAUGAAAAAGUUAUUCAUAAGUUAAAUCCUUGGGUAGAUCAUUGCCUUGCCUGACGCGGAUCGGAGCACAACAAUGGGAAAUGAUCCAUCCUAAAGUUGAAUUCCUGCCAAAUCAAAAGUAAGAAGCCAGCUCAGCUCGGCCAAAUUUGAACUAUUCAUUUCAAUUUUUUUUAGUAUUUUUAUUUUCAUAAUGCAAGCUAUAUUUGUGCCCGCUCAACUCAGUCUAAUUUGGACACGAAUUAUUCAAUGACAUCCAAAUGCAACAACAAAGUUUGCAACGCAUUCUUUAUAGGUUUCUUUCAUUUAUUUUAUUACUAGGAAAUGUUAUUUACACUUUCAUUUUUGUUAAUCACACUUCCACUAAUAUUUUUAUCAGAUGGUUUUUAUUUAUUAGACUAUAUGAUAAAAAUAAAUGACGGGAGUAUGAUUAACAGAAAAUGGAGUACAAAUAAUAUUUUUCUUUUUUUUCCCUUUUUCAUUCUUCGUAUCCAUGUAAAAAUUUUUUAAGGGCAGGCUAAAUUCAUCGUCUUCCGUCUUAAAUUCGCACGUAGUACAACUUUAAUACAAAUGGUACAAAUUAUCAAUGCACAUAGUACGAGUUAUUAAUGCAUUAAGGGUAUGAAUUUAGACGGUUGGGAGUGUGAAUUUAGCUUGUUUCUUGUGAAUAUCAUCAAUGUAUAAUUGCUCAUAAUAUAGAACAAUCUACACAAUUUUCUUAGGUGACAUACAGCUUAAACAUUGAACAACCCCAGUUACAGGCCUCGCACUUUUGCCCAUUAUUUUGUCAAGAGCCGUAUCGAGAGAUUUGCUUGAAAGUUGAAAAAGCACCUAAGAACCAAAUCUCGCCAAAUUACACAUUUAAGAUUUCAGUCAUACACAUUUUAUUCAAACACAAAUCUAAGUGCAACUUGUGUAUUACUUUUCUUUUCUUCUUUCAUUGCACAAAAGCUUAUUAACCAUGCAGAACGUUGUGGAAUGGCCAUUCCUCCUGCCCUUUCCAUCUCCCAUGAUGAAGAUAUAUUCUAGUUAACUGAUUGGUAAAUGAUCACCCAUAAAUAGCAAUGUCCUUGUCAUAUGAUCACCUCUAUAAACUUUGUAGGUGUGCUUAAACCACCAAAAAAAAGGAAAAAAAAAGAAAAAAGCUAUUGCAUUCUUUUUUUUUUUUUCCGAAACGAUAAGUGAUUUUAUAUCAUGAAAUAAUCUUUACAAAAUCAAGCAAAGGCUCGAUAACUAAAUACAACCAGUGCACAAUGGCACUAAGGAAUCACAAAUUCCUCAUCUUGAAUGAUAUUCAACGCAUAAGCGCUAAUUCUAUUACUUAAAUGAUUAUUAUCUCCAUCAACUAGGCAAAAAGAGCACAUUCAAAACAAGGCCUUCAAAGUGAGAAUAUCCUAUUGCAUUCACAAAGGGGAAUGUUGUGCAUUCAAUUUUGGUACAAGUUUUGUUAGACGUUAUAGAUUCAUAGUAGUUUAGACUAUAGUGAACAUUAAUUAUUUCCUUUUUAUAAGAUUACAAAAAACCUACAAUAGUGAGAGCUAAAUGAUGGAAAUUAUAACUCAAUAUCACUGCCUGCUAACUAAUCCACAUGAAGUGGGAGAAGAAACUCACAUAUAUAGUGAGACUUGACAAUGUAGACGUUCAUUUAUGUACUCUUUUUUAGGAGUGACAUUAAAUUUUGGAGAAUGUGCAAAAUCUAAUUCCUGUAAAACCCAUUCAAAAUUAAGUCUUGCUUUUAAUUAGGGCAAAUGUGUGAUUUGGUUAAACGGGCUAUAUGUGCAAGUGGCUAAAAUUUGUUGGAUCAUCCGCUGUUUCUAAGACAUCAAUUGCUCGAAAACUAGUAGCAAAUAUUGAUCAAACUAUGCCCAAGCACUAUAUAUACUUAAAACUUGCAGACAUGAUGGUCUAAAGAAAAAGAACUUCUGGAUUUUGUUAGCUGAUCUAUGGUAUGAAUGAGAAGCACGAGGCCAAGAAGGAUCCACAGCAUGCCCUCAGGCAGCACAAGUUAGAAGAAGGGAUUUGGGGCAGCAGCUUCAGUUGGAGCUGGUGGUUUAGGAUUCCAUGAGCAUCAUGAGAAGAAAAAUGCCAAGAAAGAAGAAGAAAAGGCCACCACCAUCGGUUUUGAACAUUAAUGAUGGGAGUUCCUUCAAGUUUCUUCCUAGUUUACGUUCAGUUUUAUACUUUUACAAGAAAUUAUAUUAUGUUUGGUUUUUGGUCCAAAUAUUAAAAGAAAAAUAAAAGUGAUGUUAAUCUGUCUUCGUGAUUUGCUCCUGAUUUUGCUGGCACCCCAGGUGACUCAGUAAAUUUGUUAAUCGAAAGGAUUUUCUCAAUUGAAGAUACGACAAACAAAUUUAGAAAUCCCGACUUUUUCAUGGCUCCAUGCACGUGUAAAAUUCCCAUAAAAAAAAAAAAAAAAACAGUUCAUCCUGCUAGAGAAAUAAUUUUGAUGGUUUUUGCGACAUGUAAUGUAAUUCUCUGUUGUUAACUCGAAAAAAAAAAUUUUUUUUCUGUCCUUGAAAUGUAACCAACGAUUGGUGCAAUGGUCCAAAAUCCAGCCCAUUUAGAACUGUCAUGACCCAAAACUUCAGAGAUUUGUCCAACAUCCUUGAUCAUGUCAGGUUGAUCAAGACAGUCUAACAGAAUGUUCCUGCACCUCAUCCUGGAAAAUUUGAGCAACAUAAAAGCUAACUUAAUUAAAUUCCAAUUUAGCACCCAAAAAAAAAUUAAAUUUCAAAUCUGUACAUAUGUUUUUUUCCUCUUUUUAAGAGUAAGUUCCAAAGAUUGUUUGACGAACUUUGUGUGAAAUACAUUGAUAAAGACCUCAGGUACUAUUUUGUACAAGUUUUUGAGUUUGAACUUCCUUAUACUAUUUCAUUUACUCCAAAAAAAUUCUUAUAGUUACACCUAUAUAUAUAUAUAUAUAUAUAUAUAUAUAUAUAUAUAUAUAGUGCAUAAAUUACUGAGCAAAUUUCCAAGAUAAGCAUAGGCAAAGAUAAAAAUCACUAAAGACUAUUAUAAUGUGAUUUCCAAGUGUUGAGAGCUACUGCAUCUACUGCUCUAUCGUGCUGAUCAUUGAUCAACAAUAUGUGAUUGUAAUCAUGCAAAUGUUAGAUGUGAAUGCAUGAAAAAUUUGACACCUGUGGACACAGGCAUGUCUUAAUUUGAACCUUUGAACCUAGUUGCUUUAUGGUAAAUGAUCAAGUCGUUCAAGCAAAUCUAAAAUCACUAUCCUGUGACAAAAAUGUUGUCUGGAAUCGGACUAUCACAAAAGUUAGAGCUAGAAAGGGUCUAAUUCCAUUGUGCAAGAAAUUAGUCAAGGACCCCAACUGCCUUAUUCACAUUGUCUAUCAGGGUAAAACAUUCUAAGUUGAUUCGGAUGAAAAAUGGAUCGAAAAUAUCAACCACGAUAUGAGGCUAAUGAGUGCAUGAUGUGUAACAUAUUGUAGAAAGAUUGCUUUACAAUGACCUAACAAACUACAACAUCAAGAAAGCCAAAAUGAAUGAAGAGGUUCCUGCCCGUCCAAUCUCAGAACCAAGAAAUGAAGAGGUUCCUGCCCUUCCAAUCCCUGUUUUCUUUAUUGCCAUAAGAACGUGGCACCAUGAUGGCGGUCCACAAAGAACAAAUGUGCAUAGCUGAAAAACACGUUCCAGUUAACGACUUCACAAGCUAUAAACUAGCUUGGUGUUAUCGUGGGACAAGCAUCGAUUAGUAAAGCAACACGUAUUUUAUGCCAAGAUAUCAGCAACCACAAAUCUUCAUGACAUUAAAGCCGCUAUGCCCUACCCAAGGAACCAACUGUCCAUAAUUGUUGCGGUUGAUUUCGAAUCCAAUAUCCUUGCGUGGCUUUUUUUUUAUUUAUAAGAAUUAAUAUUAUAUACAUCAACGCGUAUAGAUUUUUUUACGUUGAAAGGUAUAGAUACAUGAUAUAUGAAUAAAAAGUGAAUUUAAAUUUUGAAUAGUGAUGAUAUAACAUUUGUCUAAACUUUGUGUAAAAAAUUUUUUACGCUGAUACUGUAUAAAAAUUAUUCCCUUUUUUUAAUUGCUUACUUGAUUGGUAUCUAACAAUGUUUUGAAAAUCGGAUCAGACCGGGAACUGGUCAUAGCUUCGAUUCGGUUCAUACUUUGGGUUAACUAGACUUAAAAAUCGGAUUGAACCGUUGAACCGGUAGUUUUUUGUUUUUGUUUUUGUCUAUUAAAUUGAAAAAAAAAUUAAAAAAAGAAUAGGUUUUCCUUAACAUUAAAGACUAAUUAUUAAAUGUCAUAUUCACUCACUUUCUUUUCAUUUUUUACCUCUUAUCAAGUUUGUAUCUAUAUGUUCUAUUUUCCUGACUUUCUUCAAACUCCAAUCUUUUUUUUUUUAAGUUGCAGUCUUUAAAUAUAAAAAAUGUGAAUUAAAAUUUAAACUCACAAUAUCUAAUUCCCAUAUACGUGAAUUUUGUAUGAUUUUAGAAUAUUGUGGUAUUUUUGGGUUGGAUAUAAGAUUAUUUUUUUGGUAAAUUCAAUCAAAAUUGAGAUAAAAUUUAUUUGUUUCAACUUAUAAUUUUAAAAAUUUAUUUCUGAAAAUCCAAGUUCUUUGAAAAUAUUAAACGCUUCAUCAUAUAAAGUCUUAAAUUAGUCCAAUGCAUUCUUAUUUUGUGCAUAUAUAUUUACAUAAAUUAUUUUUAAAAAAAUUUAUUGAACCAUGAUUAAACCGGUCCGAUCGAUUGAAUCUCGACCUAAACACUCCAUCAGUUCAAUCAACGGUCCGAGUUUCAAAACAUUACUACGUGGGGAUUUUUACUUCACCAAUUAUUCAUAUGAUUAAUUUUUAGGAUUUCAUUUUGAUCUACAACUCAUUAUCUAUUCACUAGUCACAUGUUUGGUUGUACCGUUGAAACUACUAACCAACAACUAUGGUGCUCGAGAUCUUGUGAUUUGUGAACAUAUCAACAACUUUAGUUUUUGAUUUUUUGUAACUAAUGUAAAAUUUACGGCCCUUAUUAUACUGCCUAUAAAAUUCUAAAAUAUAUUUCCAGUGAAAGAAGAAUCUUUCAGCAAGUAGGAUAACAUUAAGAGAAUAUUCAGAACCUGUCUCCAAUUAUUGUGGGCCAGGCUCCCCUAAUCAAGUGAUUGUCUUUUGAUAAAUAAAAAGUGAUUAUCUAAUAAUUACUCAUUGGAAUUUAAACCUUGCCGACACCGGCAAUUCAACCGCCUCAUUGAUUAAGUCCUAACAAUGGAGGGUGGGCACCAUCCGGGGUCAAGAAAGCGACGACGCCGCAUUACUUUUUACAUGAAAAUCGCGAAAGCCAAAUAUUAAAGUCGUGUGGCAUUAAAAGCGGAACAUGACAUUUGUUAUGAACGUAGUGGUCCAAUCACGUUUCUUGUUGAAGAUUUUUCUUUACCCUUUUUAUCCACUCGAGAAAGGAAGGUUUAUAUGGAAACAAGAGUGUCUCUUUCAUGAAAUGGUAAUUGGAUAAGGAGAUUUUUCUAUUAAUAAAUUACCUGAUUUUCAAUCUAGUUAUCCAUUGAGAUUAUUUGGUGCUUAAUAUUUAUUAAGUUUUUGGGAACCCCGAAUGGAAGUAUUAAGCAAAAUAUGAUUUUGGAAGUACUUUCUUUUUUUAUCAUGACUUUAGCAGCUCCACCUCCAUAUCACAUGAUGAAUUCAGAUUGGUUUGUUGAGUGUUGUUCGAUUUCACAUGGUAGCUCCCACUUGCCAUUCGUAAGAGUCAAAACUUUGAUCAGUAUCAAUUUGAAUUAAAAAGUUCACAAUAGUUUGUGAAUGAAUCGUUAUAUUUCCCAAAGCUACCAGUCAACAAAGUUGCUUCAUCCCCCAAGGCAAUAAAAUUCCGUGAAUUUGCAACAGUUAAAACACACAGUGGGUCUAUGUUGAAACCUACAGCAGGCCUUCAUUUAUUUUUGGGAUGAUUUCAGAAACCUCCUCAUGGGAAAUUUCUGACAAUUUCACUUACUUCCCUUUAGGUUUGAAUAAUUACACUAAUCUCCUUUUAUGUAGUAAAAUGACUAUAAUAUCCUUCAUUUAUAAAUGAUUUCUACAAAAAAAAAAAUCCCUACAACUAUAAUUAGUCUUUCAUUUUAAAGCAACGGCUACCACACAAUAUAAAUUUUUAUUCUCUCUCUCUGACUCUCUCUCCUAUCUUCUUUCUCCUACACCUCAUAAUCCACUAUUUUUCCAUAAUUGCCAGUUACAUAAUGAUCUAAUACAUUUUGAAUCCUCAUUAUUAUGGAAAUAAAUCCUCUCUCCCUUUUUUCGUUUUCCUUUAUUUUAAGUAUUAUUGAAUUGAAAUUGUCAAAUGACAAGUUGUCGAAUCAGAUUUGUUGUCAAGCUAAAUGAAAGUAAAAAGGAUGGCGGUGAUACAAAGUAUAGACAAGAAAAUGAAAGUGAUAGCUAAAAAGGGAAUAUGGAUUGAGGAAGGUUACAUUAUUAUGCCAAUUAUGUAAAAAAGAAUUUUAGGAUAUGAAAACUGCAAUCAGAUUUACCUAAAAGACAUGGGAUAUGGUCUCUAGUGCUAUUUUUGGUUGCUCCGUAUUGGUAUUCUUGGUUCAAGCACUGAAUUUAGGCAAAAAAAAAAAGAGACUAAAGAUUAGAUUGAAUGCAAACUUUAAUUGUCAUAGUUGAUUUGCAUGGGAAGUUUUGGGGGGCAUUAGUAGGCUAUCAAAAUUGUGAGAAUAUGAGAAUUAAGUUGAAGUGGUUUAUUGAGUUCAUUAAGUGGCGGUUAUGGCGUUUACACUAGUUACAAUGUAGAAAAAAAAAAUUUAUUAGUGAGUUUUCCCCCUUCUAAGCAGCAAAGGGGUAUUUUAGGAUUUUUAAGAAUAAAUUUAGCAUACUAGAUCUAUAUUGUUACUGAAAUGCAAAUCAUAAGGGAGCUAAGUGUAAUUUUUUAAAUUAGAGGGGAGCAUCCUGAAAUAGUCAGAAACCUCAAGGGAGGUUUCUCAAAUUAUCCCUUUAUUUUUUUUUCCUCUUUUUCAUCACUUUUAAAAAUGAAACAUCAUAUAAUUGUCAAUUAUGUAAUCCCCCCUCCCCCCAACAAAAAAAAAAAGAAAGGAAAAAGAAACUUCGUAACUAUACUUGCACACGUGAAAAAUGUUUUGUCAUUUACUCAUGGUACAAAUGUAAGGAGUUUUCUAGAAAUAGUAGACAGGCAAAAUUACGAAAAUAUUAAUACAAGGGUCUGCUAAUUUAACUUUCUCUAAUAUCUGUCACUAGUUGCAUGUGGACGUUAAAGCAGCACCGUGCAAUCACAAUCAAAGACCUUAUCUUAUUCCCUCGAAUUUACCUUCAUCUCAUCUUAUUACUGUAUUCAGAGGUAGAAAAUAGAAGGUCUCUAAUGUCCAUCAAUCAGAGCAACAAUCGAGCGUAGAUAGAUAUGACUAGGAGAUGACAGCACAUUCUAUUAACCAAUUAGUGCCAAAAUCCCACGAUCAAGACUUAUAAAUACAUCUCCCAUCUAAAGUCUAAACCAUCAGUCAUAGCAUCAACAAUAUAUAGUCAUUAUCCAGCCAGUUGAUUCAAUUUCCCUAGAAAAAAGUCAUCAUCAGAACCAUCAUCAUGGCGGAGGAGGAGAAGCACCACCACCACCACCUUUUCCACCACAAGAAGGAGGGGGAGGAGGAGAACAUAGUUGAUGAGGCGGCAGCUCAUAAAUAUGAGAAAGAAGAGAAGCACCACAAACAUCUUGAGAAGGUUGGGGAGCUCGGUGCUGCUGCUGCUGGAGCCUACGCCUUGGUAAUUAACAUUUCCACAUACUCAAUUCAUGAAUGCUUGUCCCUUCUUUUUUUUUUUUUUUCUAAAAAAAUAUCAUAUACAACUUCCCCUCCAUUUUUUUUUGAAUUCGUUUUCUGGGUUUUUAAUAAAACCAUAUGGGGAUUGAUCAUGAAUUUUACUUAAUUUGGUAAUUUCUUAGUUUAAGAAAUUUUUAGUUUUUUAAUAUUUAAUCUGAGAGACACAAAUAUAUAAUUGUCCAAAGAAAUGGUGACCGGAUCCUGUUGUUAAUGGAAUUGCGCCUAGCUUGUAAUAUGAUCCUCUUUUUAUUUUAUUUAUUUAUUUUUGUUUCAUGAUAUUUUUUAAUUUUUGCCAUUUAUAGUAAAGUCAAACUCAAGAAUAUUGAUUGUAUUAGCAGCAACCAAAUAUUUCAUGAUCUCUUUCUCGGUCAAUCUACUAGAUGCUAGGGUAGCGCAGGUUGGAAUUUGUAACAGUUCUAUGAGAUACAUAUAACGAAUUCAUAUUCUACUUCACAAAUUUGGAUCCUCUUUUUAACUUAAGAUCCAAAAUUUCCUUAAUGUUGAAUUCACCUUUUUCUUUUUCUUUUUUGUCAAUUGUUUAUUGGUCUAAAAAAUCGGAUUUUCAAAUUGACAAGAAAAAAAAAAACAGAGGAAUUGGGGAGUGCGAAAAUAAAAUGAUAACCAAUCGGGGUAGUAAACUCUAGCCGAAGAUCAAAAUUCAACCCCAUUUUCCAAUCAAUUGAUCGGACCAUAUGUGUGUAAACUCAUUAAGAGCUCAGUAAGAAAAUUUUUUCGAUUCUUGGUUAAUUAAUUCCCCUUGAUGAUUUGUAAUUGAUUAAAUUAAAUGGCAGCACGAGAAGCACGAAGCAAAGAAGGACCCUGAGCAUGCCCACAGGCACAAGAUAGAGGAAGAGAUUGGUGCAUCACUUGCAGUUG